rnacentral:rRNA from 1 species
CACCGGCAGCUCAAGUGGUAGCUGUUCUUAUUGGGCCUAAAGCGUUCGUAGCCGGUUUGAUAAGUCUUUGGUGAAAGCUUAUGGCUUAACUGUAAGAAUUGCUGAAGAUACUGUCAGACUUGAAGUCGGGAGAGGUUAGAGGUACUACCGGGGUAGGGGUGAAAUCCUAUAAUCCUGGGAGGACCACCUGUGGCGAAGGCGUCUAACUGGAACGAUCUUGACGGUGAGUAACGAAAGCCAGGGGCGCGAA